rnacentral:lncRNA from 1 species
CUACUCAGGCGCCGCCCUGCGCACAUGCGCGUUAGACACUACCCACGACUGGCCCUUUAAGGUGGGCUGUGAGUGGGCGGGGCACUGCGGAGGAUCGCGCCUCCACGCGAUGAUGAGGGCAGCACGUUUGCGUGCCGCCGUGACGCAGUGGUUGCCGCAGAAACGCUCCGCUCCCCCCGCGCGGUGCGGUUCGCAGUGGAGCUGCCGGGAGGCGCCUGUCACCUUCAGCGCGGGCCGGAGCGGGCGGGAGACGCUGCGGCGGCGGGGCCGCCAUGGUGCUAAUCAAGGAGUAUCGUGUCAUUCUGCCUGUGUCUGUGGAGGAGGUAAGUCCUUUUCCUGCCGCUUCCUUUUCAGGACUUUGUUUUGUUUAAACAAAUGUUUAAGCUUAUGAUUGACCAGCCGACAAAAGUCAGGAAAUGCAAGAAAGACAUGCAUCCACCUUCAGGAUUAUCAUGAAACUGUAUGAUCCAAUGAUUAAGAUUGAGGACUGGGAGUCAGAUUUGUGUAUCCAGCUCUUCUGCUGACUCAGUUUGUGAUUUUAGUCAAAUCAUUUAACUUAUCUGUACCUGGGUUUUCCCAUCUUCUCUAAAAUGAGGCUAAUGAUAUUGUCCCUCCUCCUGUAAAGUGCUUUCAGAUCCAUGAAUUACAACUCCUAGAGAAGUUAAUGAUAAACUUGGAUUUGCCAGAUUGUUCCAAAGCACAACUUCCUUCUUUGUUUAAUAUAAUCAUUUUUCUUUUAAGGUGAGGAAACUUUAAUAAAUCUCUGAGGUUCCUUUUAAUCUGGGUUUGU